AUGUAUGAUGUUUUUGUUUCCUCACAUAUUUGGGCCUAUGUUACAUGCAGCCAAUUCUCUACCAUCUUAGGACUGCUUUGAAAUUACAGCUCAGCUCUUCCAGGCCUCUAUCCUUCCAAAGAUGUUGCUUCCACAGUUCAUCAGCACACCCACAAGAUGGAACACCCAGAGAGACUACAUUCCCAGCUUCUGGGCAAUUAGGUGUGGUCACAUGACUGAGUUCUGAUCACUGGAAUGUGGAUGGAGGGGAUGGAAGCCACAUGCAGAGCAGAUUAGACACAGAGACAUCACAUGCCAGGCAAGAGAGAGGGCCUGUGAAGAUGGUCUACAAGCAAAGGAACUGAGGAACGCCUGGCGCUACCGACAAGAAAGGAAUUGAAAUGACUGAGGUUUUGAUUUGUAUUUUUAGUUUCCAGAACUGUGAGAAAAUAAAUUUCUGUUCUUUAAAGCCGCCUUGUAUUUGUGUGACAGCAGCAUGAGGUAACUAAGACAUCGACUUUUUGGAAAAACAAAAAAUAUUGGCCCAAAGAGGGAGGAGUAACUCACAUUCAGCCAAGAAAAUAAGAUCUCCAAAAGGUUUCGAAGGAAAAUGUUAAGUUUUAGUUAACUUUGGAUCCAUUCUGACUUUGCUGACAGAAUUAAGUCUAUGUUGUAACUGUUAGGUGCACAGUAGGGUUGCUUUGCAACAGCAGUCUUCUGCAGAUGAGUAAUUCUGUGCCCUGAGCCUGUGCCACCACGAUUUCAGUUAAAGGUUUACCAGUCUCAUGAGCGCCUCAGAACUUUUUUUUUCUUCCCAAAACCACUGUAACUUUUGUGUUUUCUGCACCAGAAAUCUGAUUUAGUGCUUAGCAGGUUUCAUGUUUCAGAACCACAUUUUUAGAAUGGCACCAGCCAACACUGGAAGG